rfam:Caenorhabditis brenneri strain PB2801 C_brenneri-6.0.1_Cont71.28, whole genome shotgun sequence.
GCCCGCGUGGCUUAAUGGAUAAGGCACCGGACUCCGGAACCGGGCAUGGGCGUUCGAGUCCCCCCCGUGGGCU